AUUGAACGCUGGCGGCAGGCCUAACACAUGCAAGUCGAGCGGAUGAAGGGAGCUUGCUCCUGGAUUCAGCGGCGGACGGGUGAGUAAUGCCUAGGAAUCUGCCUGGUAGUGGGGGAUAACGUCCGGAAACGGGCGCUAAUACCGCAUACGUCCUGAGGGAGAAAGUGGGGGAUCUUCGGACCUCACGCUAUCAGAUGAGCCUAGGUCGGAUUAGCUAGUUGGUGGGGUAAAGGCCUACCAAGGCGACGAUCCGUAACUGGUCUGAGAGGAUGAUCAGUCACAUUGGAAGUGAGACACGGUCCAGACUCCUACGGGAGGCAGCAGUGGGGAAUAUUGGACAAUGGGCGAAAGCCUGAUCCAGCCAUGCCGCGUGUGUGAAGAAGGUCUUCGGAUUGUAAAGCACUUUAAGUUGGGAGGAAGGGCAGUAAGUUAAUACCUUGCUGUUUUGACGUUACCAACAGAAUAAGCACCGGCUAACUUCGUG
rnacentral:rRNA from 1 species